GUGGCCAUGGUGUAGUGGUAACACAGCAGGUUGUGGUCCUGUUAUCGAGAGUUCGAUCCUCUCUGGUCACCCCA
rnacentral:tRNA from 1 species